CCUACGGGGGGCAGCAGUGAGGAAUAUUGGUCAAUGGACGAGAGUCUGAACCAGCCAAGUAGCGUGAAGGAUGACUGCCCUAUGGGUUGUAAACUUCUUUUAUAAGGGAAUAAAACGAGGCACGUGUGCGUUUUUGCAUGUACUUUAUGAAUAAGGAUCGGCUAACUCCGUGCCAGCAGCCGCGGUAAUACGGAGGAUGCGAGCGUUAUCCGGAUUUAUUGGGUUUAAAGGGUGCGCAGGCGGAGGAACAAGUCAGCGGUAAAAUCGCGAGGCUCAACCCCUCCGAGCCGUUGAAACUGUGUCUCUUGAGUGAGUGAAGGGUAUGCGGAAUGCGUGGUGUAGCGGUGAAAUGCAUAGAUAUCACGCAGAACUCCGAUUGCGAAGGCAGCCUACCGGCGCGCAACUGACGCUCAUGCACGAAAGCGUGGGUAUCGAACAGGAUUAGAUACCCCAGUAGUC
rnacentral:rRNA from 1 species